rnacentral:rRNA from 1 species
CACGUAGGGACCAAGCGUUGUCCGGAUUUAUUGGGCGUAAAGAGCUCGUAGGCGGUGUGUCGCGUCGGCCGUGAAAACCUGCAGCUUAACUGUGGGCUUGCGGUCGAUACGGGCAUCACUGGAGUUCGGCAGGGGAGACUGGAAUUCCUGGUGUAGCGGUGAAAUGCGCAGAUAUCAGGAGGAACACCGGUGGCGAAGGCGGGUCUCUGGGCCGAUACUGACGCUGAGGAGCGAAAGCGUGGGGAGCGAACAGG